UUUGAAGAGAGAGUUCAAGAGUACGUGAAACCGUUCAGGGGUAAACCUGAGAAACCCAAAAGAUCGAAUGGGGAGAUUCAUCGACGACGAAGCUGGCUCCCGUUGGCGUGCGAUUCCCCCGUUGGGACCUCGGUUCCAGAACGCGGGGUACACCCCUUCGGCGAAUAACCGGCGACGUAGUCGUGCACUUCUCCCUUGGUAGAACGUCGCGACCCGUUGUGUGUCGGUCUACGGCCUGGGCUAUUUGCCUGUCGCGGUGGCAUUCGUUCGCUCGCGGCAGAGGCUCGGUCGCCCGGCCGGCUGCACGACGGUACUCCGACGGUAUCGGGCCGCAACCAAUCCAUUCUCGAAUGGUAUAUGCGUCCAGGCCCGUCGCAAGCUCGGACAGCACCCGGAGCGUGUGGACGCAGCGCCCUCCCCGGGUCUGGCCAGCUGUUAGCAGACGGUGUCCUCGGACCGGCCAAGCUUCGAAUUACCGGUCAGCGACGCUAUUGCUUUGGGUACUCUCAGGACCCGUCUUGAAACACGGACCAAGGAGUCUAACAUGUGCGCGAGUCACUGGGACAUUGAAACCUAAAGGCGAAAUGAAAGUGAAAGUCGUCGUAAGCGUCGACCAAGGGAGGAUGGGCCGCGUCACGUCGCGGCCUCGCACUCCCGGGGCGUCUCGUUCUCGUUGAGAAGAGGCGCACCCAGAGCGUACACCGUU
rnacentral:rRNA from 1 species